rnacentral:sRNA from 1 species
CCGUCCGGGUCGUGGGACAGCCCGCGCCGCACCGGCUCCGGCCGAUACCCUUGGCCCGUGCACCGGCCCCCGCGGGCCGCGCAUAGCCGACAGCCGUCGCACACGAGGGAGUAUCCCCAUG